CCAGGCUUGAACUGCAGUUGACCGACCAUGAAAGUGGUUUUCCGCAAGGACAACUGUAGAGGUGCUGCAUGGCUGUCGUCAGCUCGUGUCGUGAGAUGUUGGGUUAAGUCCCGCAACGAGCGCAACCCUCGUCCUCUGUUGCCAUCACGUUAUGGUGGGCACUCUGAGGAGACUGCCGGUGACAAACCGGAGGAAGGUGGGGAUGACGUCAAGUCAGCAUGGCCUUUAUGUCUGGGGCCACACACGUGCUACAAUGGCCGGUACAAACCGUUGCGAUCCCGCAAGGGGGAGCUAAUCGGAGAAAGCCGGUCUCAGUUCGGAUCGCAGGCUGCAACUCGCCUGCGUGAAGUCGGAAUCGCUAGUAAUCGCGGAUCAGCACGCCGCGGUGAAUACGUUCCC
rnacentral:rRNA from 1 species